rnacentral:rRNA from 1 species
GACGAACGCUGGCGGCGUGCUUAACACAUGCAAGUCGAACGGAAAGGCCCUGCUUGCAGGGUGCUCGAGUGGCGAACGGGUGAGUAACACGUGGGUGAUCUGCCCCUUACUUUGGGAUAAGCCUGGGAAACUGGGUCUAAUACUGGAUAGGACCAUGCUGUAGGUGGUGUGGUGGAAAGAUUAGUUUCGGUAAGGGAUGAGCUCGCGGCCUAUCAGCUUGUUGGUGGGGUAAUGGCCUACCAAGGCGUCGACGGGUAGCCGGCCUGAGAGGGUGGACGGCCACAUUGGGACUGAGAUACGGCCCAGACUCCUACGGGAGGCAGCAGAGGGGAAUAUUGCACAAUGGGCGCAAGCCUGAUGCAGCGACGCCGCGUGGGGGAUGACGGCCUUCGGGUUGUAAACUCCUUUCAGCCAUGACGAAGCCCUUGUGGUGAGGGUAGUGGUAGAAGAAGCACCGGCUAACUACGUG